rnacentral:tRNA from 1 species
AAAAUAAAGCGAUACUAUUGCAAUCAGUUUCGACCUGAUUUUAGACGAAGUCUAUUUUU